UGCGGGGUGGAGCAGUCUGGUAGCUCGUCGGGCUCAUAACCCGAAGGCCCUCGGUUCAAAUCCGAGCCCCGCUACCA
rnacentral:tRNA from 1 species